rnacentral:rRNA from 1 species
AUUGAACGCUGGCGGUAUGCUUAACACAUGCAAGUCGAACGGUAACAUUGGAGCUUGCUCCAGAUGACGAGUGGCGGACGGGUGAGUAACGCGUAAGAAUCUGCCUAUUAGUGGGGGACAACUCGGGGAAACUCGAGCUAAUACCGCAUACGCCCUACGGGGGAAAGCAGGGGAUCUUCGGACCUUGCGCUAUUAGAUGAGCUUGCGUUGGAUUAGCUUGUUGGUGAGGUAAUGGCUCACCAAGUCUGCGAUCCAUAGCUGGUCUGAGAGGACGAUCAGCCACACUGGGACUGAGACACGGCCCAG